UCCCUUCCCUCCACCAUGCCUCCGUGAACUUCAGGCACGGCCGCUGACCUAGACCAGGGUGCUGCCUGGGGUGGAAGGCAGCACCAUUCUGCCAAAAGACCCAGUUUCCAGGGGCGACGGGCCCCCUCAGCCAGAACAAGGAACAGGCAGGAGAGGAAACUGUCCCUCUCAAGAGGCCACAAGCUUGGCACGGCCUGAGGACGGCGUGGUCCACCAGCCAGGAACACAGGUCAGCAAGGAAAUGCCAACAACCCAUCUGCCAGCCAGCUCAGCAAAACCGCCGCUGCUAGCCCAACUCCACGGGCCGGGGCCUGCCCCCAGCCUUCACUGACUUCACUGACCACUGCCUGGCUCACACCAGGCCUGCUCUUGCUGGCCCCUGAGCCGCCAGUUCCCACCUGAGCGCAGGAAGGAGUGGGGCUUGGGGCUCCUGAGGAGGAAGUGGGUGGGACAGCAGUAACUCAGCAUCUCCAGAACUCAGGCCAGGCAGGGGAGCCAGCUCCUGCGGGCCGGGGAGGCAGACUUGACUCUUCUCAAGCCCAGAGGGCUGCAGGCCCAGAGAUCCUCCCACCGGCCCCGGCCGCCUCCCCGCCCCCAGUUUCCCCAGGGCUCCAUCCAGGAACCUACCCAUAAGGCCAGGUGCAGCCCCUCUGUGGUCCGGCUCAGGUGUGAGCCCCAGCCCUGAAGCUCUAAGCAGACACUGUUGGCCCUGCCCUCAAGGAGCUGACAAAUUCAACUAGACUUGGAGAGAUUGGAAAAGAUCGUUGAAAAGCAUCUCUAAAGAGAACUACGCCACAAAUACCAACCACCCUGAUGGGCCAGGAUGGCUUGGAAGCCAAACAAAAAUAAGUAGUAUCAAUGAUAAAUGAGGUUAAGGAGGUCAGUGUAGAGCAGAGGCUGAACCUGAAGGAUGAAUCAGAUUUGGAAUGAGGCUGGAUAGGGAGGAAAUAAGAGAUGUUAGGCUGGAUAGGGAGGAAAACACUUGCCCACCUUCACCUCCCGCCCCACAAUACAACUAAAGCUAAGGGGUGCGGAGAGAGAUGUUGAUGGAUAUAUCCUAUCGCAGUGAAGAAUAACCGCGGGUUUUCUUACAUGACAGGGUGAAUGGGUAUUUUGGAAAGAUUAGCCUGGGGACCUCUCUGGUGGUCCAGUGGGUAAGACUCCACGCUGCCAGUGCAGGGGGCCGGGUUCCGUCCUUAGCUGGGGAAUUAGAUCCCACACGCGUGCCACAACUAAGAUGUAGCACAGCCAAAAUAAAUAAAUAUUCCUUUUAAAGAAAGAAAGAUUAGCCUGUUUUGUUUGCAAGAUGAAUUAAAAGGAAGAGGGGCUUCCCUGGUGGCACAGUGCUUGAGUCCGCCUGCCGACGCAGGGGACGCGGGUUCGUGCCCCGGUCCGGGAAGAUCCCACAUGCUGCGGAGCGGCUGGGCCCGUGAGCCAUGGCCGCUGAGCCUGCGCGUCCGGAGCCUGUGCUCCACAACGGGAGAGGCCACAACAGAGUGAUGACAUCUGCCCUCCCAGGCCCCGGAAUACCAGCAUCACUUAAGGAGAUAAUGCCCCCAGGUGCCUGGCUUCCAACCACAAGCUGCGGGAACAAACCAGCUGGAACAGGUGCUGGUAUAAGGAGGUCAAAAGAUGGGCUGUGAAGGAGAGCCUACCUACCAUCCCUCCUGGGGCUCAGCACCCUUCUGGGGGCCGUCAGAACAAGCAGGCCCUAAAAAAGGAAGAGGACUCCAAAUCAGAGCGAGCCUUCUCCAAAUAAUACUCAGGGACUACAGACUUCCUCUCCCCACCCUGACUGAGAUCCAGAACCCAUAGAGCAAAGAGGAGCCGUUCCAUAAAACACAGGCCCUGUUCUGCUCCAAGCCAUCUUUCAACCCAAUCAAGGUACCUGCUUGGUAUAAUUUUUCAGAAGAUCCCCAAGCAGAGAUGAGAAGCCGUGAGUUUACACCUCCUGCCUGCUCCCACCCUUUAAGGAACAUAAUAAGACUUGCUUGGCUUCUCUCACUGGUGCCUCCCCGGCAUCCUCCCAGGCCGCUUUAGACCUCACCCCAGGCCUCCUCUCAAAAUGAAGCUUCUGAUCCGGCUUGGCCGGCUCUUUUUAAAAACACUAUCUCAUCUAUGACAUCUCCUUUUCCAUUAUUAUGUGGCUAAACACCUUAGACUCUGCACUCCAUGGUCUUGGGACUUCUUCAGUAAGUAAUGCUGCCUGUGCAUGCAGUCAGGACUCAAAGUGUCAGGGUGGACCAGGGCCAUCAGUUUCACUUUUUCUUGGCCCACUUAAUAAAGGAGCCUUUCCCUCCAGCUGCCAAACUUCCUUAUUCUCAUUCUUUAAAAUUGAGCUCAAAUUGGGGGGAGGGGCAACAUAAGAGUAGGGGAUUAAGUGGUACAAACUACUAUGUAUAACAUAAACUACAGGGAUAUAGUAUACAGCACAGGGAAUAUAGUCAAUAUUUUAUAACAACUAUAAAUGGAGUAUAAGCUUUAAAAAUUGUGAAUCACUGUGUCGUACACCUGAAACUUAUAUUGUAAAUCAACUACACCUCAAUAAAAAAUAUUU